rnacentral:snRNA from 3 species
GUGCUUGCUUUGGCAGCACGUAUACUAAAGUUGGAAUGAUACGGAGAUUAGCAUGGCCCCUAUGCAACGGUGACAUGCAAAUUCAUGAAGCGCUCCGUAUUUUU